GUUCUGUAUUUAUCUAGAUAGUGCAUUAACAGUUAAACAUAAUCUAUGAUGACAUCUAUUCUGAAGGUACUUUGUCAGACUCCUGGAUUCAAGAAAGAACUUCGGACACAUGUCCAGACUUCAACUGCUGAAUAUCUUUUAGACGUUUUAUAUCAUAAGAGGAACCAGUCCUUACAACGUUUGCUGAACAUAAUUUUUGAUAGUGAUGAUUCAUUUCGUCUUGGAAAACAGAAUGACAGUCAUUCGUUCCUUCUUGCACUCUUUGCAUGCAUACAGGAGGAUACAAAUAAUAAAGCUUGCCACCUGUUCGAGGGAUCAAUGUUAAGCCGUUAUACCUAUUCGACAUGCAGUCAUGUAAGUUUUAAUCUAGAGAUUUUUUUCUCAAUUAUAUUAUACAUUUAUAGCCGUUGCGGUAGAGAAACAAAAAAAAUUGUUUUCCCG